GGAAAUGGAGACCGGGGAUGAUACAUCAGCACCAGCCCCCACACACUUUCUUCUUCUUACAGACAAAACCUUCGCAAGGGAGCCAGACACUUAACAAUAAAGUCAAUAUGGAAUGUUUUUAAUGCCCAUGGAGUCACAAUUGGUUUGGAAGCCCUGGCCACAGUCCACAGCACUGUUUUAGAGUCCAAGGUCCUUCCCCACAGCUACUGUGUCCCUCAGAAUGGCAGGGGCCAGCUGGUGGGCUUGGGCCACGCGUGCUAUUUCUGUGCAUAGGAUGUGAGCGGACAGUAAGUCAGAUCAUACCAAGUGUCGACAGAAACUGAUCUUCAAAGCACAGUAGAAGCAUCAUGCCAGGCUGCGGCACCACCGGGCAGAAGCUACAGCUCGAAAGACACUUGUAAUUACUACACAUAAGAGAAACGCUAAAAAAUAUGGAAGCCAUCAGAUUGUGUGAAGACUCUGUUAAGUGUCCCUGCCAGAAUCAGCAAAGACCGCAGGAUGAGCCAGGCAGACCCAGCUCUCUGUGAGUCCACAGAAUGGCGAAGGAAGGAGGUCACUGGCCAAAGAAGCCCUUCCGGUGCCAGCAAGCAGCUUCCCUUUACCGAGCAACUACGCUUUUGCUUCCUGGACUGAGGAGUUCACUGCUGGUCACACUCACGGCUGACUACAGAAUGGCUGCCACUCAAGGGUGGCAUGCAUGGUUUCACUAUGCUAUGCAAAGGGCUGUGAAGCUAUCAGCAGGAAGCAGCAGCAGGACCCACCUCACAACCAUAACCUGGGGAUCCACCCUGCGCUCUUCCGGCCAGGCCUUUCUUCUCUCUGCUGCUGUCCUAGGAUCUGUCCCAUGAGCUUUUCUAUGGAAGGCAGCAGUAUACCCAUUAAAACCACAACGCCCAGGUCUGGAAAUGACUAUCAACUACCUUCUGAUCUUCCUACAGACGGGCUCUUAUCAGUUUCCUUUGAGUAAUUCUUACUCGUCCUUCAGAGCCUCGGGGGUGCCUCUUUCCACGCUCCAGCGCUACGCCAGGCUCCCUGCUACCUGGAAACUGGGCUGCAGUUCAUGGUGUUUCACCCAGUCCUCAUUUUAGUUCUAUGACAACAUGAAGGAUGUCUGCUUCGUUUCCAGUUCCUCAAGGACAGAAACCAGGCCUGUUUCUGCUGUAUGCACAGGACUGUGUCUGCCUAGCAAAAGCUUCCUCAUGGCAAGAUGCUUCAAGGGCUCCUGAGGUGAAAUUCGUACCAGUGGGAAGAACGCCACGUGUCCGAGUGAAGAGUUACCAAGGGGUAUUCCCCUCCUGGGUGCUGGACAUUUACCUGAGCUUGGAACUAGCUGAAAUGGCUGAGCUAUGAGACCUCCUCACUUGUUUCCUGGGGCUUCUUUGGUCGCCUAGGGAUGCCGGGGCUGUCGAUGAUGCUGAUGCUCUUCAGAACCUGGUUGGGCAGCUGCGAGCACAUGAAUCUGGAAGAGACAGAACAAAGUUGGGGCCAGGAACUGGACCUUGAGAAAGUCUCUAAUGGCUUCCAUCAUCUGCCCUAACAGCCUGGAAGCACAGUGGGAGAGAAGGAAAAUUUUGAACCAUGCUCCAGCAGACUUGGGCUCCUAGUCUGUUUGGCUUUGUCGGUGACCUUAGACAAAAGCUAUUCCCUGCGGGCCUCAUGUGUAAAGAGAGACAGCUAAACUAGAAUCUGGCGUGUCCUUGGAGCUUUCCCGUUGUGAGCUGUUCCUGACUGCUGUAUCUGUGUGGGCAGAGGCUUAGAAACGCCUGGGAACAGCUCAGUUCUUCCAUUCAGUGGAACUGUGGGGAUUACUCAGAA